CCUACGGGUGGCAGCAGUGGGGAAUAUUGGACAAUGGGGGGAACCCUGAUCCAGCAACGCCGCGUGAGUGAAGAAGUAUUUCGGUAUGUAAAGCUCUGUCAGCAGGGAAGAAAAUGACGGUACCUGACUAAGGAGCCCCGGCUAACUACGUGCCAGCAGCCGCGGUAAUACGUAGGGGGGAAGCGUUAGCCGGAUUUACUGGGUGUAAAGGGGGUGUAGGCGGGCCUGUAAGUGUGAUGUGAAAGGUCGGGGCAUAAACCGGGGACUGCAUUUGAAACUGUGGGGCUUGAGUGCAGGAGAGGUAAGCGGAAUUGCUAGUGGAGCGGUGGAAUGCGUAGAUAUUAGGAGGAACACCAGAGGCGAAGGCGGCUUACUGGACUGUAACUGACGCUGAGGCUCGAAAGCGUGGGGAGCAAACAGGAUUAGAUACCCGGGUAGUC
rnacentral:rRNA from 1 species